UACGAAGGGGGCGAGCGUUGUUCGGAUUUACUGGGCGUAAAGGGCGCGUAGGCGGUGCGGUAAGUCUGCAGUGAAAUCUCUGGGCUCAACUCAGAGUCUGCUGUGGAAACUGCCGUGCUUGAGUGUGGGAGAGGUGAGUGGAAUUCCCGGUGUAGCGGUGAAAUGCGUAGAUAUUGGGAGGAACACCAGUGGCGAAGGCGGCUUUCUGGACAGUAACUGACGCUGAGGCGCGAAAGCGUGGGGAGCAAACAGG
rnacentral:rRNA from 1 species